UGAAACUUUAACUGAGUCCAGAGAGGCACAGAAGGUCACACUAUGCUAUGUUUAGAGGCUUAACUCUAUGCAUAAAUUAGAAGAACCUAGCAGUCUCACUCAGACACUAGGUUCUUUUUU
rnacentral:sRNA from 1 species